CAUCGUUAUUUUUAAAAUGCUCUUUAUAAAAUCAGUUUUGGAAUGGGAAUGUGUGUGUUCUGGAAGGGUGGGGAAGGGAGGUUAAAAAUCAAAGCUGAGCUCCAGUGAGUAGGGAUGGGGUUCGCCUUGCUGCCCUGGAGGGAAAAGGGAGACUCUUCUGAAUCUCCUACUCCCGGGUGCUACGUGGAGAAGCCGACUACUGAUCGAGGUCAGCAACACGGCUGCGACCGCUCAGCCUUCGUCUCUUCACAAAAUGGCCCCCGAG